rnacentral:rRNA from 1 species
UACGUAGGGUGCGAGCGUUGUCCGGAAUUACUGGGCGUAAAGAGCUCGUAGGUGGUUUGUCGCGUUGUCCGUGAAAACUCACAACUCAAUUGUGGGCGUGCGGGCGAUACGGGCAGACUGGAGUACUGCAGGGGAGACUGGAAUUCCUGGUGUAGCGGUGGAAUGCGCAGAUAUCAGGAGGAACACCGGGGGCGAAGGCGGGUCUCUGGGCAGUAACUGACGCUGAGUGAGCGAAAGCCAGGGGAGCAAACGGG